rnacentral:lncRNA from 1 species
GAGUAUACUGUUCACAUGGACAGAGUCUUCCCUGUAUUUGCACAACGUCGCACAAGUACAAGAUACAUAAAUAGGAUACAACCACCACAACUGAAUAUACAAACAUUCAUACAUUCAUACACCAUUCACAUUCAGAGUUUAACCAUAAAUCCACAGCUAUUAGUUUAAAAUAUUUCCUACCCGGAAACUUGUUUUGAAAUACUAAUUCAUAAAAAUCACGAGAAAACUCUUUUAAAAACUGUUUCCCACACGGAAACCUUUUUCUUUUAAAACUCGCUACCACGAGGGGUAGAAAACCAUUUUCAUUUCAC